GGCGAACGCUGGCGGCGUGCCUAAUACAUGCAAGUCGAACGAACUCUGGUAUUGAUUGGUGCUUGCAUCAUGAUUUACAUUUGAGUGAGUGGCGAACUGGUGAGUAACACGUGGGAAACCUGCCCAGAAGCGGGGGAUAACACCUGGAAACAGAUGCUAAUACCACAUAACAACUUGGACCGCAUGGUCCGAGCUUGAGAGAUGGCUUCGGCUA
rnacentral:rRNA from 1 species